CAAUAGCGUAUAUUAAAGUUGUUGCGGUUAAAAGCUCGUAGUUGGAUUUCUGCGCGGGAAGACCGGUCCGCCUUCUGGGCGAGUAUCUGGCUCGGCCUGGGCAUCUUCUUGGAGAACGUAGCUGCACUUGACUGUGUGGUGCGGUAUCCAGGACUUUUACUUUGAGGAAAUUAGAGUGUUUCAAGCAGGCAUUUGCCUUGAAUACAUUAGCAUGGAAUAAUAAGAUAGGACCUUGGUUCUAUUUUGUUGGUUUCUAGAGCUGAGGUAAUGAUUAAUAGGGAUAGUUGGGGGCGAUUCGUAUUUAACUGUCAGAGGUGGAAAUUACUUGGAUUGUUUAAAGAACGGACCUACUGCGAAAGACAUUUGUCCAAGGAUGUUUUCUAUUGUAUCAAGAACGAAAGUUAAGGGGAGUCGAAGACGAUUAGAUACCA
rnacentral:rRNA from 1 species